CCACAGCCACACUUCCUAUCUCAGAACAGAACCCUAUCCUGCCCCACCCACGCGCCUGCAGUUCACUCCAUCCACCGCGCCGCCGCCACCGCCGCCGCUCCGCCUAGGCUCCCCUGCCGUCGCGCUGCAGGCAACCUGCCGGCGCCCUCCCAUCAGCGGCUAUUUUCGUCGGUCAGCCCACGAGCCCCUGCCAUUGCGCGACCGUUGACCGCGUGUUCCUCCCUGCGGCCCGGUGCCGGCGCGAUUCGUCGGACUGCUAACGAGCUUCCAAGGGAGGGGCGCUUCGACGGACACCAUACGCUGCUCGGAGUUCACUCCUUCGCCACCUACUCGCUCUUGGCGACGAGGCGUUCCUCCUUGCGGCAGCGCGCUAGGUCGACCUGCUUACGAGCUCCCAAUCGAUGCGCGCUUUGUUGGCCUACUCGUGAAGUCCCAACGGUGGCUCCCUGCGCCCCCUGCCCCUGAAAACUUCUACCUGCAGAGUGUAGUCGGUGGGAAGUUUGUUGUCAGUUGGAUAUAAGCAAAGCAAGGAAGGAGCGGGCCGAGGAAAUCGAUAAGAAGUGUACAAAUAUGCAUCAAACAUUCUGCUUUUCAAAGAGCAACAAAGAAUAUCUUGAUCACUGAAGAAGACCUACGAUGCAGGCCCAAGGUGGAAAGGGUGGCCGCGGGAACUAUUCAGCACGCCGAUCACGCAAUUAUAAUGGUAUAUGCUGAGAAGUUACAUAAUUUUGCAGAAGGUGAGAAAUGAAUGACCCUGCUGUGCAUAAUGUCCGCAUGUACCAGUAGUACAUUUACAAAUUGCUUCUUAACGUCAUGAACAUUUAUUUUGUUCUAGUUAAUAUGUGAAUGCCGAGAAUGCGAGUUUUUGAUAUUUGACAUGAUCUGAAUUACUUCAAGUAACACCGUUCCAAUUUUAAGCUCCAAUACUUGAAUAUCAUAAGGACACCAAAUUAGUUUUACUGAUACUUUUACUCAACUUGGUGCAGUUUUUAAUAUUUUUAAUGAAAAGACACGAGGUCAUGGAUAUUUUCUGAUUUAGCUAGGCAAAAAUUAUAAGAGAUAAUGUAUCAAAAUUGAAUGUUACUCAUUAAUUUACAAAGCUGAAAAUAUUGAUCCUGGUAAUGCUGUGUAUGAGACAUUGCUAGAUCUUUACACUACUAUACAAGUGAAUGUUGCUGGUGGAGGUAUAUUGGUUCUGCUAGUACAAAUCUAGAUUGAUUAGAUGUUAAAUCAAGUGGUAGCCGUGGCCGCGGGUGACGAUGCCAUUCGACGGAGUUUUUGUUGGGUGCUGUCUUGCAAGAUUUCCGCCGCUGCAGCUACUGUGAUUCAGCAAAACUGAAACUUAUAUCACGGUUGGUUCUGUUCUUGCGUGAGUGAUUAUUUAUCGCCAUGUUCCUUUUUAUGUACUUUCUAUCCCUUGUUUUGUGCAAAUGGAUCUUUACUGUUUCGCUGGGUUGCAUACCUAUUGUUUGCUAGUAGCCAACACGUGCUCUCAGCCUAGUUCAGCCAGAUGCAAAGCCAAGCCCAGCGUGUCAGCGCCCAAGCCAACAGCUAGCAAGCAACCAGGAGCGACUAGAUAUCCCAGCUAGCCACCCACCCUGCAAGCUUCCGAGGCCCCAACCCACAUGUUUUUGGUCUGUUCGGUAGAGAACCAAGUACUGAACCGAUUCCACAGGGAACCGAACGCUCGGUUAUAGUUAUUUUGGUACACCGAUCGGUGCUUGUUUUUUGAGGACCGAAAUUUUGCAAAGAUCGAGAAACCGACCUGAUCGGUUCGGGGGAACCGAGUGCCCACCCCUACCUAGUACGUAGUUCUGGGAUGUUCCUAAAAUAAUUUUUUGGUCAAUGCGGUUUAUUUCACUCAUCACGCCAAAUUUUUUUUAGCUCAUGGUAAUUUCUGUUUGUACUGCUUGCAUGAAUUUACUCAAAGGCUGAUUACUAUGAUGUGAGUUGUCUUGUGAAGUAAUUGCUGCCUUGUGAAGUAAUUGCUGCUGCUUGUAUACGUGAUCUGGGCCAAUACAAAUGAUGUUAAUCGUGCACAGCUAUGCUUAAUUUUUUUUAUAGUGCCAUUGUCUUUACGAAUGUACUGAAACUUGUUUACCUUUUGUAGGAAAUACAUGCAAGAGGGUGAGAAACCAUGAAGCGUGUGGUUUGGGUCAAUUAUGUAUUUUGUAUAAUAGAGCAAACUAUGAAUCGUCGGAUACAUCUUUUAGCUACCAUUUUGUAAACCUGUACAUGUCUUGGAUUCUGAACCGUUAUUUUCAUCUGUUGGAUUAGUUACUACUAGUUUAUGAGAAAUAUGGAUGCUAAUUAUGUUGAUAAGAGGUGAACUAUCUAUUUGUAAAUAUCAUUAAGGUGUUUGAUACUUUUGGAGGACAUGCA